rnacentral:lncRNA from 1 species
GCGAGGCGUUGGGAUGCAGAGAUAAAGUAAGAUGGCAGGGUGAACACAAAUUGAAAUUUCCCAUCCUACUCCAGGCAUCCAAAAAAUGCUGGAUAAUAUAUUUUUAAGUAUUUUAAACAUACAGAACCCACCUCAAAAGCCAGAAAGUGAAAUUUUCAGGUUCUAAGAGAGGGGGAACCUGUUCCAGUGAGAGGGGCUGGUGCCCCACACCCCAUGGGAAAACCAAGGGUGCCCAAUGGGUUAUUGGGGCUGAGAUGUCACUGCCUGAUAUGGGACAGAGUCCAGGCUCCGGGUCCUGCUGUUGGCAGGAAGUCAAGUCUGAGCUCCCAGUGUGAAGCCAGAGCUCACAAUUAGAGGAACAGGGUUUCUCAGCUCUCAGCCUGGGGGCCCUGCAGGAGUGAAGGCGCUCUCCGGGGCCAUGGAUGGAACGACGGAUUCACACGCCAGAUCAGAGCCUCAAGCCUGAAUCACACACUGGUGUGAGGCCCAGAUCUCAGUGACCCAGAUGCCGCGGCAACAUCUCAGAACACUCCGGAGUCCCCAAGCCUCCAGGGUCAACAGCAAACCUGCCCUGGGAGGGCACAGAUAAGUUACAUAUGACGUAAAGGACACCUACCCUUACAGACAGCUUACAGACUCAACAGACCCAAGAAUUCACACCUGAAGACCUAGAGAGACUAUAAACGACGACUCCGACCCCAUCACUGGUGUCUCGGGGCUCCCAGCCUGCAGGACGAAACAACUAAAGGAGCAGUAACGGAGUAGGUCUCAGUGCGGCAGCAGUGGCAUGUGUCUAGACUGCUAAAAUCCCCUGGAAUCCAUGGCCCCCUUCUUCCUUUGGUGACAAAGUUUCUGAGCUGGAGCUGGAGCCAUGGCCAGCUGGCUAAAGGUAACGUUUCCCAAUCUCCCUUGCAGCUGCAUGGGACCAUGUCACCAAGUGCUGACCAGUGGGAUGGAAGAGGAGGCGAUGGGCUCAAAUUCCUGGCUGUGCCCUCGCAAGGAGAAGGCAUGUCCUCCAUGUCCCCUCUUCCCUUCCUGCUGGCUGGAGAGACCAAGGAAGGAGGAUGGUUGAGCAACAAAGUAGAGGCAGUUUGGGUCUCUGAGCCAACCCCGGAUGGCCUGCAUUCACACGGUUCAUGAGCAAGAAAGAAACCCCUAUUGUCUUCAAGCCACUGGCAUUUUGACCUUUGCUGCAGUGGCUGACCCUGUGCCCUCCUUCAUACGCUAGGUUGGCAAAGGUCUUCUGAAAAGGGCCAGAUAGUCAAUAUUUUAAGCUUUGCAGGGCGUUGAUCUCGGUCACAACUAUUGAACUCUGCUGUCGUCGCAUGAGAGCAGCCAUAAACAAUAAAUGAUUGAAUAGGCA